rnacentral:rRNA from 1 species
AACGGCCGCGGUAUCCUAACCGUGCAAAGGUAGCAUAAUCACUUGCCCAUUAAUUGUGGGCUAGAAUGAAAGGACUAACGAAAUAAAAACUGUCUCUAUAAACCACAUAAAAAUUAAUCUCUAACUGAAGAAUGCUAGAUAUCGUCGAAGGACAAGAAGACCCUAUAGAGCUUUAUUUUAACAAAAGCCAGAAAAUUUUUAAUAAAAUUCGGUUGGGGCGACCAGGGAAUAUAAAUCAUCCCAGAUAAGUAGAUAACUUAAUCUAAACUAUGACCCUUAAACAAGAUCAACAAAUCAAGCUACCUUAGGGAUAACAGGCUAAUCCCACUAAAGAGUCCUUAUUAAUAGUGGGGGUUGGCACCUCGAUGUUGGCUUAGG